rnacentral:rRNA from 1 species
UACGUAGGGGGCUAGCGUUGUCCGGAAUCAUUGGGCGUAAAGCGCGCGUAGGCGGCUUUGUAAGUUAGAGGUGAAAGCCCGGAGCUUAACUCCGGAACUGCCUUUAAGACUGCAUCGCUAGAAUCGUGGAGAGGUGAGUGGAAUUCCGAGUGUAGAGGUGAAAUUCGUAGAUAUUCGGAAGAACACCAGUGGCGAAGGCGACUCACUGGACACGUAUUGACGCUGAGGUGCGAAAGCGUGGGGAGCAAACAGG